UCCACUCUACCACAAAUGAAUGGAACAGAGUGAAGUAUGCCUCAGAGCUGAAAGUCCGCUAUGAUAGGGCGCUAGAGAUGUGGGCGGGUCUAGGCAUACAAAAUAAUCGUAAAUCAUAAUUAUUUUAAUUCAGUCAAUAAAUAGCUCCGUUAGCUAGCUCCGUUAGCUAGCGGCCUGUCCUUUCCUAGCUGUCCUCAUUUUUUCUCCUUUUAUUUCCUGAAGCAACAGGGAAUUCGUGGCGGGGCGCACAGCUCAAUAAACCACAUGAAAGACCAUCAAGACCUUCUUUUAUACCCACCGCCACAACACAACGCAGAGAAAAGGAAGGGGGUUACACUAGCAUCACAUGCGAAAACGUAUACGUAUAUAUUUUUGAACUUAUGUUUUUGACAAAUUUAUUUCCCAAAGCAAAUUAAAAGAUACGUAGAAAUCCCACUAGACUGAUUUGGACCAUGAUAUUAGCUUGACAUCAGCGUGCAGUUACAACAAGUGCACAGAGGGGGGCAGUGUUGUACUCUUCCAGGUCCUGUGGUCUUGGCUGCUAAUGAGUCACCUCAGCAAUAGAGGACAAUGGAGACAUCCCAGUGUUGAUAAUAAAAAGGAGACAUGAGUUGGAAGGAAUCCAGACACUCCCAGAUGGAAUAACCUACUAGACUGUGGGAAGCGGUGCAUCAUUGGGUGGCUAGAACAAACACUGCACAAAAAGGCUGCAGGCUUCUCUUCCAUUCUUUCUUUUUUCUUGUUGUGUGAUGAAGUUCCAAGGCAUGAUUACACAUCACUGUGGGAGGAAAAAAAAUGAAUAUUUGUACUUGCGUUAUUGCGUUAUUGUUUGGGAGUAAUUGUAGCUGCAGGAAGUCGAGUCCUAAGUGAAACUGUCCAAACUUUGUCCAGUUUUAGGUUUUAAAAUCAUUGCUGGCAUUCUUAAAGGUAUCUAGAGCAGGGGUAGGAAACCUAUGGUUUGGGAGCUCGAUGUGGCUCUUUUGAUGACUGCAUCGGCUCCCAGACAUUUCAUAACUUUAAAUGCAUUUAUUUUUUAUUUUUACUGACAUUUGAAUGUAAAACAUAUAAAACUUUCUUAUGCAUUUUAAUCCAUCCAUUCAUUGUCUGGAGGGGUGGCCAGAGCCAACAAAGCAACAGAGGCUUAUAAACCCACCUAAUGUGGUUGCCAACAGCUGCACACAAUUCCACUGGGGUGAAGCGCCUGCAUCUUACACCCAGUGGAAGUGCAGCAUACCAAAGUAAGAGGCACAGGCGCAUGACGGUGUCCCCUCUCCAAGGAAUGGAUGCCAGACGGUGCCUAGUCCUGAAAGGUCCAGGGUGGGUGGAGGGAGGAACGGCAGUGUGAGGCAGUGGGUCGGUGCAAGGACAGGUCUGGAAUCGCUGCAGGUGGAGAGAAUGACAAGUGAGAACUUACAGAGGGAACUGUCGCAAUCAUACAAUCACGUGGACACGGUUUAUGAAUUAUUAAAUACCAUCUAUGACCUAUGAAAUAUGACUUUUAACCUCAAAGACGCCUCAUGUUUUCCAGACGUCCGUUCAUGAUUUCCGUCCCUGUGAGCUCAGUGGCGUGCGAUUGAUUUAUGAGUUACGACCUAUGAAAUAUGGUCCCGUGGUGUAUGGAAUGUAGCCUUUGACUUUCAGGGGUCAAAGAUCAAAUUUUAACAAGAUAAAAUUUGGAUUAGAACCCUACUCUCUUGAGUCACAUGACUUGGACUGUAAUUAGACUCAAGUAAGAUUUUGUUGACUUUGUAAUAUCAUCAAAGAGAAGUUGACUUGGACUUUGACGUCAGUGACUUGGUUCUCGACUCCGACUUUCAUCGAAUGACUUGAGAAUUUUACAGAUUUCCAUUGAGUAAAUGUGUAAAAUGUGUCCCCACUCAAAAUAUUCAUUUAAUUUCUAGCAAGAGAACAAACAACUAAUCAAAGGGGACCUAUGAUGCUUUCCCCUUUCUGACCUAUAAAUGUAGUUAGAAUGUUGGAUUCUGGUGUUAAACCAUGCCAAAGUUUCAGAUAUGAGGUUUGCCCAUAGACAUAAGCCCUGAAAGUUGGGGAUGGCUCUGAAUGCUUUCUUCCUUUCCAUGGGCGUUCCCGGGUACCAGCUGUGGGCCUGCCCUCCCCCCACUCUGCUGUUUGUCAAAGAUUUCCCCAUGUUAGCCCGAAGCUAACACUAAUGGCUUGAAGUUUGAAGUUGCCUAAAGAGGCAAACAUCAGGUAGAAUUUUAUUUAAUCAGUGGCCUAACGGCAUUUAAUUUGCGUAAGUAAGCGCUUGUCUGGGUAGUAUUAUAGCAUAGAGGAAACAAGGUUGCUAAUAGCCUUUUCCCACCACAAUCAGUGGCGCUAUCCAGGUUUCUUACACACUGGUAGUCCCGCAAAACACAUUAGACGUUACCGAUGCUGUAGAAAACUAAACGCUAAAAUGCUAAAGCUACUUACCAUUGAGAGACGUCUUGAAGUAACCUCUUAUCUUGAGAAACUUCAGACUGUCCAGUCUCUACUUCCGGAUCGGAAGUCCUUAUAUGCAUUCAGCAGUGCCGUUUAUUAUCAGCAACAGUUCGCGGCAAGUGUUUCUAUGCACUGCGCAGUGUGAUCAACCACAGCUGAGUGGGUGCGCCUGGAGGCGGGCCGUAGGUGGAAUACAUAAAAAUAGACACAGGAACCACAAAAUCCAAGGAAAUACAGCUUAAUAGGUGCAGAUUCUGGAAGAACUAGAAAGCUUUCUGUGCUGGUUAUUGUGUGUAGCUGCUCUAUAAGAGUCCACAACUCAAUACAAAGGGCCACAAAAUGAGCAUGAUAGGUCCCAUUAACGAAAAUGCGUACACCUUGCAUGGCUUCAGAAGUUAAUUUGUUGUCCUGGUUUGUACUGACUCAAUUUUGAAUGCUAUGUUAGCACUCUUUUUCCAAGACUACAUCUUGUAUGUAAAGAAACCUUGUAUUUGUAAAAUGUAACAGAUUGUUACAUUGUUAAAAUGACAUUCUAUUUGGUAACACUGAACAGUGAUAUGUAAAGAAUGAAACCUGUAUUGCUUUGACUUGAGACUUAGGAUGAAGGAUUUGAGACAUGAAAAACACUGAUUUUCUCCUGACUUUCUCUUCCUCUGACUGUUGCUGUCAUCGAUAAUGCUGUGUUUCACUUCGUUGACUUGAAGUCAAUUCCCACCCAAUGGCUCCGUUAUUAACUUGGGUACCAGUCCAGAUCCAGCAUCUCACCCGAAAUCUGGUGGUAUAGAAAGUGGUUG